AAAGACUACCUAAUUAGGGAUGACGGAAGUUAUGUGUCAAACAACGUAAAAUGAUUUAAGAAUCUCCAGCCGAAUCUAUACAUAAUGCAGCCUGGAUUUAUACAUGGCAUCACUAGAUUUAUACAUGAUAAACCUAAAUUUAUACGUAUUAUAAUUGGACUUCUUAAUGAACAUUGUAAUUGAUGCCAUGUAUAAACAGAAAAAAUAAUAGUAGUUAGUACGCAUUAUCGAAGAAUAUGGCCUUUUAUUCUACUACAUUUGUAUAAAAAGGCCAUUAAUUAGACCUUUUAAAAAUCUAUAGCUUAUCAUUAUAAUGUUUUUACAGUACUAUAAUCAAAAAUCAAAACCUUCAUCGUCAUAUCCAUCAUUAAAAAUCAAGAAAACAAAGAUAGAGUCAACACACUACUAUUAUUUUUUCUGUUUUUAUAACCAUUAUUCCUUCUUUUUUUUGCUAAGAUUGUAAAUAUCAGUGCAAGAAUGAAAGUUUGGUUACAUUUUGAUGGAACCACAAUCUCCUUUUCAGCUAUUCUGAAAGUUUAGAAGUGCAAAAAAGUUUAAAAAAAACCGCUAAACCACAAAGAAAUUAUGAUCAAAUCUUAACCAAACAAUGGAGGCUUUGAACAUAAUACCAAACUAGAACAAAAGACUAACAAUUGAUCUCCCCCUCCAAGCACUUCUCGAAGACUGGAGCAACCAGAGACAACAAGAAUAAAGCCAUAAGAGAAGUAGAGUCAGGUCUCACCGAAGUGGCUCCAAGCAGGCAUGACGGUUGGCUCCCAUUUGCUAUCAUGUAGACCCGAUUUCAACGCCAUAUGAAGAUGAAGCAUUGGUUUCGGUCAAGCGCAGACGGUCGAAAUGGCCCCCUAUCCGGCUACGCGACACAAUGGGAACAGCGUUGGCCUCAGGAAACACAAAAACAAGGACCGGAGCUUAGGAGGAAGGAAUUGAAGAACGGAAGAAGUGAAUACUCCUUGAAAGCAGGGGCUUAGGGUAGAAGAGGCUUCGCCUUGAAGCAGUUGAUGUCGUUGCUUGGGAUGUCUUCAAGAACCAAUUGAACAACAUCGGACGCAGGAAGGAAUUGCCAAACUAAAAACCCGAGACCACCAUGGUUGCUGCUUUUCCUAAUAAUGUCAAUGAACAUGACUCAUGUUUUACUUCUCCAACCUCUUAAAAGUGAUGCAGAGUGAAUAUUUGAAAAAUAUUUUAAAUAUCUUGAUUAAUGAAUUUAUAUUAAUCAACGUCAACGUCACAAUUCAAAGUGACUAUCUUUCUUCUGUCCAAGCAUGUCGUAAAGGCUACGACUCAUUCAAACACCGUCUUGAUUUCGCUGUCAUCUUCUUUUGAAGGCCUAACCUUUUUAUUUUAUGUUGUUGUAGUUUAUGUUUUCAAUCAUAGAGGAUGGAUAAUUUCCUCUAGCAUUUGUAAUCAAGCAAGUUGAAGUUAAUGAAAAGAAGCUGUGGUCCAAAAAAAAACAUAAUAUGCAAUCAUCAGUCUCACAAAAUAUAUAUACAUUACCAAUUUUCUAUAGCCGAAUCACUUUAUCUUUCUUCUUAAUUAUUCCUGAAUUUUUUUCUCUGCUUAUUCUAUGAAAACUAUAAAUAGAAUAAGCAUCUAUAGCAUAGUAUGCAAUCAUCAGUCUCCAUUUACUCUCAUUCCAAACAUAUCGGUUUUAACCGUGUCCUUGUUAAAAUCGAUAUUUUGUGGAAUGAGAAUCACCAUAUGGUGGGGCUUGGUUGGACAAUUGAAAACCAAAACAGAAUAUCCUUUUUCUCUGCUCUUUAUCGACAUGUGACAUCCCCUCUUGCGGCUGAAGCUUUGGCGCUUCGUGAGGCAAUUUUUAAGUGCAGGAAUCUUGGCCUCCCAAUACCAGAUGCGAAUCUGACUUGGCGCAACUAGUUAAAGCAAUCAAUUUGGGCUCUUCUUUUACUGAAGUGUUUGGAGUAAUUACAGAUAUCAUCUCUGCUGUUUCCUCGUUUGAGUGAUUUUCUUGGUCCAGGAUUUCUCGUGAGAGUAACAGUUUUAGGGAGGCAUGUGACGAGUACGUAAGACACACUGAAAAGCUAGCAUUCAGGCUUUUAGAACUCAUUCCAUGAUUACUUUAAAGAUCAAAUGAGUUUUCUUAAGGAUAAAUCGUUAUCCACCAUGCCCACGGUCUAUUGGCUCAAGACAAAGUUGGAGGAUUACAAUGGAGGUGAAAUUCUAGAUAUUACUUCUCAUUUUUCUAAGAUAUACACAUGCAGUAUCUAAUUAUAAUGACUACUAGAUAUUGAUCCGCGCUUUGAAAGCGCAUGAUAUAAUUUCAAUUAAAUUAUUAAUUUAAUUAUAUUUUACUUCGA